rnacentral:lncRNA from 1 species
AUUGCUGGCUGUCCCAUUACGUACAAUGGUAAAUAAUUCCAUUUGGCAAAAUUUCUACUGUGUGGAAAGCCUCUUAUUGUAGGUAGAGUUUUCCAAUUACUUAGUAUGAAUCUGUCACAGUGUACCUAUUCAUAGCUAACAUAUGCUUCAAAAGAUAGGAGGGAAGACAGAGUCAGUCUUGCAGAUGGUUUUUAAUAACUGCAGGACACAAUAAAGAAUAAAAAAAUAGAAGAAAUAUGAAACAUGCUAAGUAAAUAAAACUGGACUUCAAAAAUUUCCCAUGCAUUGGGUAUUUCAAUUUGCUCUCUACUCAAAUAAUUGUUAAUUCUUGCUUGUUUUUUAAAUUACUUUUCCAAAAACCUCAUAUUUAUAGGUAAUGAUAUGUUUCUUUUCUCUUUAUUCUUCCAUUUGUGCAAGGUAGCCACCAGUAUCCUAUUUCUCUUUCCCCUUUUCAGAGAUGUAUCACUGAAAGUUCUACCAUCUCUCUGCCAUGAGGUGCAAGCAGUCCUCAAGAGGUUGGCGUGAUCCCCAUUAUUACUGGGGAAACUAUUAAUUUGAACACCUGAGAUAGCUAGAGUCUCUAGAGCAUGCAAGGAAUGCACUGGCAGUCUGUAGGAGACUACUUCCAACAAAUUAAUUUAGCAGAAAAUCACUCCCCACCAGGACUGCAAGUAUUUAAGGUAUUUCCUUAAGUAGUUAAAAGUGUCUUGAAAACAUAUAAAAGGCAAAUGGAAAAGUAGUCGGUCUUGAUCAUGAUAAAUGGUAGGUACUGUAAUUGGUAUAUUACACUGGGAUAAUUGCAGAUGUAUAUUUGCAUUGAGUUUUUAUUAGUCUCUUUCAGCCUUUAUUAUCUUAUUAUCUGGCUAUCAAUAUUAAUUGGGUACUCUUCAUUGCUCAUUCAAAGAUGCUGUGACUUUGAACAGUCCAAUUACCUCUAGAGACUGUUUUGAUGUCAUAAAUACAUUCUAGUCACUUGCAAAUUUUUCAUAAGGGUUUUGUAUAGAUGUCACAAAGACUACAACAUUUGAGAAAUCCCAAUAUGGAUAAUGUAACAUAAAACAUUUCUACUUCAAAAAAAGAGUGAUCUCAAUGGAAAUUUUUUAUUUUAGUUGCCUUGACCUAAUAAAUUCAUAUUUAGUUUAUAGAAGGUUUACUGAGUCGGAAUGCAAUAGAGAUAUACAUGGUGCCACAAUGGAGUAAUAGAUUGAUGCUGACAGGAGUAACAAAUGAAAAAUAAGAAUAUAAAAUAACAAGUAUCAUAGAAUUAUGUGCAAAACUAGUGAUAGCUAACAGUUUUUCCUUUUUUUAAAGAAAGUUUUCCUUGGAAGGUGAGUUUAAAGUAGUUAAAAGAAGGUGGGAUGUUCAUUAACAGAAUGAAGGUUUGGGGUUAAACAAGAAGUAAAUCAGUAGUUUCCAAGAUUAUACUAAAGAUAUUUUACAUGAGGAUCCAUGAGAAGUUGGUCUGUUCUUAAUUGAGUUGCAGUCAAAAUGUAUUAUGUAAAAAUUGUGAAAAGUUGAAGAGACCAUUUCGAAGUCCUGAAGAACAGGUAAUUUUGUUUUGAGGUAUUGGAAUCAACAACAUAUUCCUAAAGAAAGGUUAUUCUCUCAGCUUUGUGAGGGAUUUAGUUAAGUCUGGUAAGUGGAUAUACUGGAGGAGAGAAGAAAACUGAUUUAAAAUCCAGACAGACUUGUCAUCUGACUGCAUUGGGUUUCCAGGCUUUCUGCUUUUCUUUGCCUCACUUUAUUCAUCCGCUUAUGUUAUAAUGCUGUCUGUGGAGUGCUUGACCUGCAUAGAAAGUUCCCAAAUAAUUGAAUUGAUAGAAAUCAUAUCUAUUAACAGAAAGCCUCUCUCUUGGGGGUUAAUUGUUGACCUUUUUGAACAAUGCUGGUGUUAGCAGCACUAUUACUCCCCCACUCCUUCAGUCAAAAAAUCUGCAUACAACUUUAAAGUCAGCCCUCUAUAUUCAAGGUUCUACAUCCUGGGACUCAACCAACUACAGAUCACUUAGCACUAUUCAAUAUAGAUAUUGAAAAAUAUGUUUAUAAGUGGACCUGUGCUGCUCAAGCCUUUGCUGUUCAAGGAUCAACUCUGUACAUAUAUACUACUAUAAUAUAUAUACAUAUAGUAUAUACACACACAUAAAUGUCACAAUGAUUGAUUAUAUGGUGUAUAUCUAUACAUAUGCAUAUAAUUCAAAAUAGUUGAUCUAUUCAUAUCAGGUAGUUACCCAUAAACAAUUCUGAUAUUUUGCCCAUAACAUAAUCUUGAUGGUUUUCCAGAUCUUGCUCCCUCUCUCUGGAAACCCAGCAGUAAACCAUGUAUCAUGCAUAUAUUCCAAAUUAAGUUUAAUGUCUAUACAUACCGUAAAAGAAAUCACAAAGCCUUGGUGACAUCAAAAUAAUUUACACUAUGUAUAAAAAUAUAUCUAUGUACAGAUACCUUAGAAUAGUGUAGAAUAUCUCUUUUUGGAAUUGGACUAGAAGAAAGCUAUAAUGUAUUGAACUUACUUUACAAUGUUACAAUAUUACCCCUAAACUCACUCUCAGGUUAUAAAAUAAAUAGUAAUUGGUACUGUUUAAUAAAUACUAUAGUAGAACCUCCUAGUAGUCCUUCCAUAUCUGAUCUCACUUUCUCUUACAGUAAUAGAACCCUCAAAUUUUAGUUCCAUAUGUAGUUUCCCAAAAUACAAAUGAGUUUUCAGUUUUUUGGAAGCGCAAUAUGGCCAUGUAACUAGUUUUAGAGAAGGGAAAGAGAGCAGAAAUACGGUGAAUAGCUUGAAAUCUUUGCUAAUGUAGAGCAGGCACACAUUUUCUCCUUUUCUUCCUUUCCCUUCCUCCAUCCUACUUUUUGCAAUGUUAGUGUAAAGGAUUGACAUCUAGUCAUGAUCUUGGAUGGUGAAAGUAGGAAUCACACCCUAGUGGUGAUAUCGAAAACUAAAGAGAUGUUUUCAUCUAUGAGCACUUUUGGCAGCAAAGUGGUUUCCCCAUCCUUGGAUAACCUGUAUCUAUUUAGAUGUUUACAUGAGAGAUAAGUUUUGUCUUAUUGUCAGUUUGAGGGUGUCUGUUUCUUAGAGUUAAAUAUAAUCUUGAACACUAUGUUAUGCAUGUUGACCAUUAAUUUCUGUGUGUUUUAUGUAUUUGAUUAUAUAUAUUUAUGCUAUAAUAUACAGGGUAUAUUAUAGUCUUGUAAAGUAGGCAUCAUAUCUUCAGUUUACAGAAAAGAAUCCUGAUUUUUUUUUUCUCUACAAUAAUUGAAAGACUUCAUGGAAAGAAGCACUGGCUUGAAGUCUUUUACAUUCAAUUUGCCAAAUGAAAACCAAUUUACCCACCUAAUGUCUGCAGGUGUUUAAAUAGGAAUACAAAAAAGACAAAGAGAACAACAAAAAGAGCAAAUUGAACACAAGCUCCAUAUUAAGUGGUUUUAGUUCUAUGACUAAGUGGUCUAUUGCAGAUAGAAAUAUGCUCUUUAUUCCCUGAAGAGUACACUUUUUCUAGGAAAAAACUGAUAGUUACUUAAUAUCUAUGUGUCCAGAUAGUAGUCUCUAGAAGGAAGAAGAGGAGGAAGGAUGAAGGGGAGAGGAAGGAGAGAGAUAGAGGAGGAAGAGGACAGUGAAGGAGUUGAAAAGAGCAUGAAGUUGAAGUGGGGUGGGAUGAUGAAGGUAAAGAAAAGAAAGUCUUACUCUAUGAAAUGUCAACAUGAGUUUGCUUAAUUAGAAAAUGCAUAAAGGCAAAAACACCAAAGCUGUAUAAUAUGGUUUUGCUUAAAAUCCCACUUAUCUCUACUUAGUAAAAUUAUAUAAUCCAAGCUAAAAAUGACUGAGAAGUUUAACUGAAAGG